GUAACGGCGAGUGAAGCGGCAACAGCUCAAAUUUGAAAUCUGGCCUCUUUUGGGGUCCGAGUUGUAAUUUGCAGAGGGCGCUUUGGCGUUGGCAGCGGUCCAAGUUCCUUGGAACAGGACGUCACAGAGGGUGAGAAUCCCGUACGUGGUCGCUGGCCUUCGCCGUGUAAAGCCCCUUCGACGAGUCGAGUUGUUUGGGAAUGCAGCUCUAAAUGGGAGGUAAAUUUCUUCUAAAGCUAAAUACUGGCCAGAGACCGAUAGCGCACAAGUAGAGUGAUCGAAAGAUGAAAAGCACUUUGGAAAGAGAGUCAAACAGCACGUGAAAUUGUUGAAAGGGAAGCGCUUGCAGCCAGACUUGCCUGUAGUUGCUCAUCCGGGCUUUUGCCCGGUGCACUCUUCUAUAGGCAGGCCAGCAUCAGUUUGGGCGGUUAGAUAAAGGUCUCUGUCAUGUACCUCUCUUCGGGGAGAACUUAUAGGGGAGACGACAUGUAACCAGCCCAGAUUGAGGUCCGCGCAUUUGCUAGGAUGCUGGCGUAAUGGCUGUAAGCGGCCCGUCUUGAAACACGGACCAAGGAGUCUAACAUCUAUGCGAGUGUUUGGGUGUCAAGCCCGAGCGCGCAAUGAAAGUGAACGGAGGUGGGAACCCCUCGGGGUGCACCAUCGACCGAUCCUGAUGUCUUCGGAUGGAUUUGAGUAAGAGCAUAGCUGUUGGGACCCGAAAGAUGGUGAACUAUGCUUGAAUAGGGUGAAGCCAGAGGAAACUCUGGUGGAGGCUCGCAGCGGUUCUGACGUGCAAAUCGAUCGUCAAAUUUGGGCAUAGGGCGAAAGACUAAUCGAACUAUCUAGUAGCU
rnacentral:rRNA from 1 species